rnacentral:rRNA from 1 species
GAUGAACGCUGGCGGCGUGCCUAACACAUGCAAGUCGAGCGAAGCACUUACUUUAGAUUUCUUCGGGAUGACGAGGUUUGUGACUGAGCGGCGGACGGGUGAGUAACGCGUGGGCAACCUGCCCUGUACAGGGGGAUAACAGUUAGAAAUGACUGCUAAUACCGCAUAAGCCCACAGCUUCGCAUGAAGCAGUGGGAAAAACUCCGGUGGUACAGGAUGGGCCCGCGUCUGAUUAGCUAGUUGGUAAGGUAACGGCUUACCAAGGCGACGAUCAGUAGCCGACCUGAGAGGGUGACCGGCCACAUUGGGACUGAGACACGGCCCAAACUCCUACGGGAGGCAGCAGUGGGGAAUAUUGCACAAUGGGGGAAACCCUGAUGCAGCGACGCCGCGUGAGCGAUGAAGUAUUUCGGUAUGUAAAGCUCUAUCAGCAGGGAAGAAAGUGACGGUACCUGACUAAGAAGCCCCGGCUAACUACGUG